UGUGGGACCGUUAAAUUCAGGGUUCUCAGCAGGAUUUUUUUCUCAGUGUAAUGGGAUGGAAUAAUCACCUUAAAAAGCUGGGGGUUUGGGGGCUGCUUAGGCUUGGCCCCCCCGAAGCUUUUGCAUUAUGGGCUUAUAAAGGGUCUUCUUUGUUAGUCUAAAUAUAC